GGAAAGAGUGAUAGAGAGGAGGAAGGGAAUGGGUUGAAGGGUCCAGUGGAUUGUACUGAAGACUCUGAAUUAAGUUCAUCACAAUCUAAAACUAUUGUAUCUACUCAUUCCACUGGUAUACCUGAAGCUACAGUGUAUGCUGGACAAGUGUUUUAUCAAAGAGCAGAUAAAAUGAGAUUUGCAGCUGUGAGAGAUUUGAAUGCGUUACAUCAGUAUAUUAAAAAGGAAUAUUCUCAUGCAGAGUUUGAUCAAAACAUCACUUUCAAACUUCAGUCACCAAAAGGAUGUAUUGAAUUAAUAUUUAAAGAUGAGCAACAACCAGAACCAACAACUGGAUGGAGAGUAAAACCACAUUUGAUGCCA